rnacentral:snRNA from 11 species
AGCUUUGCACAGUGGCAGUGUCAUAGCCAAUCAGGUAAAUCAGAGGUAUGAUUAUUGCUAAAUUAUAAAUAGUCUGGAAGCCUAGUGAGAAUCUUUCAAACUUGGUUCAGUAUUCAA